rnacentral:sRNA from 1 species
UACAUGAAAUAUGUUAAAAUUAGUGCUGC